GAGCUCUUUGUGUGCGAGAAGAUGUAAAUAAACAAUGAAGAAGCUUGCAGAGUUCUGAAUCAGGAUGAAUUGUUCUUUGUAAGAAGUUUAAAAUGAAGGAAUGAAAAGGAAGAACCAGCAAGAAGCAUCUCAUUUGGUAUUAUUGGCUCAUGUGCAUGCCGAAGCAAAGCUUCCGCAGAAGAUGAAACUGGCUGGCCAUCUUGGUUUGCUUCCUUUUUCAAAUCUUUCAAAGACAGAGAACUCCCCAAAGAAAGAGACAGGUUGAUUAUACCAAGUUGUGGACUCUCAGCCUGUACAUCAUAAAUCAUUUUAACUUGCCUGACUCCCCGAGUCUUCUGAAUCCUUCUUCACUAUACUAGGAUCUGCAGAAGAUAGGACAUACUGAAGAUGUCUUCUGGAGUCAUCGUUUAGCUGCUAUAUGGAUGUUAAAGCCUACUGUCAACUUGAGUGAGUCUGACUUCACUCAAGAACAGUCUAAGCUGCAAAGAGGCACUGGUCCAAGCUCAUAAUCAUCAACACACAGUCAACACCAAUAGCCUGCACGACACUGUAAUAUUCAUGUUCUGCCCCUUUACCCAACUCAGAAUAUCUCCAAAAGGGUGAAGAGAAGGGCUAAAGUUUCCACAUUUAAAAACCAUAGUUGUGAAGCAAGUUAAGCUUGGCUUUGAUCAUGUGCAGAAGUUGGAAAGGGACACCAAUAGCGAGCUCCUUUCUUAAUAGAAUGAUGGCUGGAAGGAGCCCAUCCCUAGAGGAGGCUGCCUGGAACCAUCCUGAGCUUGGACAUGGCAAGAUGGCCGUGCUGCAGAUCCAUCGCCUGUACGGUCAGGGUUAGAGCAGUUCUCGUCCUCUGAGAGCCCCUGGCUAGUAAAAGGAACUCAUCCUUGCAAGUUAAGAGGAUCAUUGCCAAUCAGAAGAAAUACUCUUUCUGAUUUUCACCGACUGCAUUCUGAAUAUGAAGCUCGCUUUUCAAAACCGCCUCAGCGCUGUCCACAUUCUCUGACCUUUUUGCCUCAUUUCUUUUGUAUAACCUUUUCUGCUGAUAAAUGCGAACAGCUAUGGCAGAGACACAAAGCAAGAUAAAGAUCACAACAGCUAUCAGACCUGCAGAGGAAAGAGAAAAGAAAUACCCAGUCAGGACCUUGAUCAGAAUAGACACUGUGUCAACCUCAUGGCUUAAUUAGUCCAGGGAAUAUUAUUUUCCACUGAAGUCAACCAUCUGUAAGAUACAAACCAGAAACAACAAAACAUCUCGCCUUUUCUAUUCAAGCAAUAUUGUAAUGGAUUAAGUUUAUUUACGGAUUCUAUCAACUUUGCGGGGUCUCUUCCAUUUAUCCUGAAAGUGCAUUAUAUUGGAUCUGCUUCAUAGGUUUCCUUUCAUCGGGAAACAUUAGUUAAAUAAUUUUAUGGCCAAGUGUUGCUUCAUAAUAAAACACGAAGACAUUUUAAUUAUUUUUAAAAUUAUAGUUAAGCAUAAUGCAGUACAAGGAUCAUGUUCAGUGAUUGAAUACCUAACAAUAUCCAUGAAGUUUAUUUUCCAUCAACUAUUGAAGAGUAUGUCAUAUACCCAAAUAGUGCUAGUAAAAUGUAAAUAUGUUUAAAUUCUUUCUUCGUGAGGCAUACUGUGUUUCAAAACUCUGUGUUCUUUGUAAAUAUUUGAAGUAUUACAAUUCUUAGUUGAGCCCAUGGUUAUUAACUUUGAGGUGACAUGCGAUCGAUCCUUCAAGUGGAUCAUGGAGCCCAGAUAGUCCUCACAAAACCCUAGGAUGGGGACACAUAGGAUGUAAUCAGGUAUUUCAUAAGAGUUCUGAGGUACCUGGGAUUAAAUUUUUCACCAAUGGUGCAUGAUAAAGAUAGGGGAAAGUUCAGUGGUUAGCCCAAGUGAAGACUGAGACAUCAGACUGUAGAACUAGUCAUUGACUUUAUGAAGCAGAAGGGAUUGCACUGUCAGGCAAAAGUCAAACUCAUUUAAGAAUGUCCUCAAUGAAACAGUAAAAAUUAUUCAUAUCAUUAAGUUUAGAUGCCUGACUACAAGUCUUCCUAAUGGGCCAUGUGUUAAAGUAGGAAAUAUUCAUAAAGUAUAUCUGGUCCAUGCUGAAGGGUGAUGCCUGACUCCAGAAAAUACUCUGCAAACAUUUGAGUCAUGAGUUAAACUGAUCCUUUGUGCUGCAGUCACCCAAUUUUUUAUUUUUAAAGGCCAACUAAUAUGCAAACUGUUGUGCCUCAGAUAUCCAUCGUUCCUAGUUCUCUCUAAACUGAUUGAAGUAAAUCUGUUAUUCAGUAGAAUCGCCUGAUGGUAUUUCAUCCUAAUAAUAAAGGUCAAGAACUAAAUG
rnacentral:lncRNA from 1 species